CAAGUGGAAAAAAAAACGGAAUUUAACGGACUGGUUCGUUUAACUCCGGUAACUUCUCCGCAGCGCCCGCAAGCCCAACUCGGAUGCCUGUUGGCUUCUUUUCAAUGAGUAAUUCUUCAAGACUUUUCAUAUCCCACCCGAUUUCACCAAGCCUCCACACCAUUGGUUGCUUCACUCCCAGUAGCUGCAUUUCAUUGGCUGGCGGCACUGUCAAUCUUUGGUGUAAAUGGCGCUCAGUUUCAGCGCGCGAAAGAACAUUCUCGUGGGCGCAGCUCACUUCCGACAAUUCAUCGCGAGAUUAUGAAGUGCCCCUAAAUCACGUGCCCUGACAGAUGGUUGCCUAGCUAAACAUGUUGGGGUCGUACCGCGGUACUUUAUCUUUUCAUCAAAGCUUUACUCGACGUUUACUGAACGGUAUAUUACAUGUCAAAGAGAUCAGCCAUAUGGCGUCUGUGAUGGGGUGGGGCCAGCAGGACAGAGCUGCCUCGGGGGAACGGAGCAGCACUCCGAGCUCAGGGAGGACGACAGGAAGUGGACACGACAGGCCAAGUCGUCCAGGAAGUCUUUUUGUAUCUUGGUUAUUGCUUGAGAGAGCACAUCGGGCAGGGAGCGCAUGUUGACAAGCAUGAAGUCCAGUUUGUCCUCCAGGGCCACAAUCCUCCUGUCCAGAUCCUCGCUCCGAUGCUGCAGAUCCGAGACCAGAUCGUACAUCAUGUUCUGAGUCUGCAGAGCAACAUGCAGAGAGACGUGUGACUUCACACUUUGCUGGGCAAGGAACCGCACUGGAGAACUUAAGAGCAUCCAUUCAGGCAAACCCCCUUUCCACAAUACGUGUGAGGCACCAUGUCGCCGUAGCCGAUGGACAGGAAGGUGAUGGAGAUCAGCCACAUGGCUCCUAGAAAGGUGCUGCUCACCUCCUGUGCGUCGUGAUACCUUUCGGAAGACAACAGCACCUCGUCAGUCGUGUCCAAUUCCCGGAAAUGAAUCCAUUCCGAUGCGUGUGGCGCCGAUACCUCUCGCAUAUGCGCACGGUCCACGCCGCGAUGAUCCAACAGGACACACUGAAGACCAGCAGCACCGUGCCGGGGCAGAUGGUCAUCAGGGUCUUCAUGACAAAACGGGUGUCGAAACUAAUCUUGUUGAGCGCUCCGAUGCUACGAGACGAAGCGUCGGUGAAGAGCUUGCUGUGGAGCAGCAUGACCCGGCCAAUCAGGUAGAGGCGUAGGAACAUGGGCACCGACAGGAUGAUGUCCACGUCGGCGUCCGCUACCGAUGUGGUGUAGCUGAAGGCCAGCCGAGCGGUCCAGCUGAACACGUACUGGCCCGGGAUGGGAUGGAUGGCGCACACCAGGAGCUCCAACGCGACAAAGAGGACUCGCUCAAAGGUCACGGCGAUCCUCCAGUCAUCCGCACCGUUGUCCACCAUGAACAGCUGAGGAAUCAAACACUUUCAAUCGUUUUGUGCUUUGCUCGACGCUCAAAUCUGAUUUCCUCUUUUGUUUGCUAACUUUCCCGAACUUAGUAGUAUUUCUAGUUUCUAACUAACCAAGAUUAAUCAUGAUUAAUAAUACGCACAAGAAAAGAGCAGACCUUUUGGUCUAACUGAAAUGAGUGUUAGUAUUUCUAGUGUCUAACUUCGUUUGAUGUGGCAGUCUGCUCCAUGUAAAUCAGAUUAAUCACGGUUUUGAAAUGAUUCAAUCAUGAUUAAUCACGAUUAAUUCCUGCUUUCCUCAUAUAAUUUAAGUUUGUAUUUAAAAAAAAAACAUGAUUAAUCACAAUUAAUCCUGAUAAUAACACACACAAGAAAAGAGCGGACCGUUUAGUCUAACUGAAAUGGGUGUUAGUAUUUCUAGUUUCUAGCUUCGUUUUUUGUAGCUAUCUGCUCCAUGUAAAUCAGAUUAACGGUUACGGUUAUUUAACCGGUUAUAUUACGGUUUUCAAAUUAUUCAAUCACAAUUAAUCAAGAUUAAUAAUAGCUAUCUGAAAUGGGUGUUAGUAUUUCUAGUUUUUAACUUCGUUUGAUGUGGCAGUCUGCGCCAUGUAAAUCAGAUUAAUCACAGCUUUCAAAUAUUCAAUCAUGAUUAAUCACGAUUAAUCCCUGCUUUCAUAAGAUAGACCUUUUUAUUAAUUUUUUCCCUUUUAAAAAUUAAUCAUGAUUAAUUGUGAUUAAUAAUACGCAAGGAGCGGACCUUUUAGUCUAACUGAAAUGGGUGUUAAUAUUUCUAGUUUCUAACUUCGUUUUUUGUAGCUAUCUGCUCCAUGUAAAUCAGAUUAAUCACGGUUUACAAAUGAUUCAAUCAUGAUUAAUCACGAUUAAUUCCUACUUUCAUAAGAUAGUUUAAGUUUUUAUUAUUUUUGUAAAAAUCAUGAUUAAUCAUGUUUAAUUGCGAUUAAUACACACACACAAAGAGCGGACCUUUUAGUCUAACUGAAAUGGGUGUUAAUAUUUCUAGUUUCUAACUUUGUGUUUUUGUAGCUAUCUGCUCCAUGUAAAUCAGAUUAAUCACGGUCUUCAAAUGAUUCAAUCAUGAUUAAUCACCAUGUUGCACAAUAUUUUAAAUAUGCACAUUUGACUUUAAUGGCUAGAAAAGAUGGUGUUUUUAGGUGGCCGUACACAAAAUAUUGAUGAAAACUUUAUGGUAAGAUGACUUACUCGUGUUUAGUCAACAGAUGGUUUGUCCCAGCAGUUACCUGUAUUUCCCUGGCAUGGUACAUCCCAAUGAGAGCCAGUAGAACAGCAGUAGAAACACUAAUGAGGCCUUUGAGCACAUAAGAAUACAUGGAGUCCUGGAAAAAAAAGAGGAUCCAAGCAUGAAUGAGUGAAGAACUCCAAAAUACUCCACAGACGACCGAAAUACCUUGCUGUAAAAUCCUCUGGACAUCUCCGUCUCGAUCACCAUGACGACGAUGCCGAACAUCCCGCACACUAAGGCGUAGUCGCUCAGCUGUUUACGUUUGCCAAAAAGCGCUCUGCGUUGACCCAGCCUGUAGCUGAUGUCCUUCUUCUGCGGUACGUUACCUUCCUCCCUGGCGGCGGCGGCGGCGGCGUCGCUAUCGACCUUGCUCGAAUCCUCCCUGAUGACCUUGGAGAAGGCGUCCUCCAGGAGGGCGCUGUGAAGAAGCGGUGAGGCGUCACGGCCGGCCGCCGAUUUCACAGCAUCGCCGUUGCAGAGGACGUCGCUUCCCGCGACUUCGUAGGGCGUGAUGCGCUGGGAGUGUUGGAAAAAACAUUUGAUGAAAUUAAUAUCAGUUUUUUUUUUUAUGAUUUAAAAAGGAUGAGGUCACCGAUUGAAACUUCCUGUACUUGACUUUGUCGUGAUCUCGCCGCCUCUUCGGCGAAGCCGUGGCGGUCGAGUGAACUACAGCGACUGGCGGAGAACGACUGGAGAGCCGGCGUGGACGACCUCUUGACGGUCCCGGUCCCGGUCGGAUGGUUGGAUGAUAGAUGGCGGCACUUGAAGAUGAAGGCGGGGUCUCCGUGCGAAUAACGCGCGUGAUGGGUAACGUCGGGACGUUGGUUGGCGGACAUGUUGGGGAUGUUGAACAAGUUGGAUCGGGAGUCCUUGAACGCCUCUUGAGGCAUCAAACUACCUUGCGAUCGCUUUUGUGCGACUUUUGAGACAUCUUGAUUUGUUUCGUGUGGAAAAACUUGACAUGAAAGGUUUUUUUUGUGCGAACGACAAGUGUGAUUGGACCGCGGUUCAAAGAUGGACGCCAUGGAGUCGGGACAGGAACACGCACACGCGUCAUUGUGGUUCGGACCGGACGAAUCGCCUCCUUCGUCGCUAACCUGGCCACGUAACAGCAGCCGGUCUUGAUUACUCAACUGUGAUAGGCUCAUGCUUUCCGUCUGCAGCUGUGACAUCAUCGCAUCGCAAACCUCCGAGGACGGAAUGACGCCAUUGGACGUUUCGUGCGGUGCGCGACUUGCCUCCUGCGUUGGUGACGUCGCGUCCGUGAGGCUUCCCGAGUAUGGUCCGUGCAUCCCGUCCGGACUCUUGGUCGGGGGUGUCGGACCACUCGAAGAGCAGAGCUCAUGGUCGCCAUCGCGGAACACCUGACCCGUGCUGUCCAGGCGGCGGGUGGCGUUGGUGGGUUUCACCAAAAUCAACCUCAUGGCAUCCCUGCACAGCCCAAACACAAAAAGACUUAUUUUUUUGUUUACUACUUUUAACCAGGGGUCUCAAACAUGCGGCCCGUGGGCCAAAUGUGGCACGCAGGACACCAAUUUGAGGCCCCCGCCUUGAUAUGAAAGUUUAAUGUUUGAUAUGGAUGCUGUAUGGUAUCAUGUACCCAGAAAAAAUUAUUACGUUUGAUUCAUGUUCAUGUUAAAGGUUAAAUAACUGUUAAUAGUUAUCCUCCCUAUCCAUGUGGAAGUGGUAAGUUUUUGGCUAUUUAAGUUGAAAGGAAAUAACUUGAAGGCUACCGUUUAGGUCGCUAGUUCUCUAGUUUGCGAGUUAGCAUGUGUCUAAAAAAAACAUACAUAAGUCGCUCCGGAGUAUAAGUCGUACAAGGCCAAAAAUGCAUAAUUAGGUAUGCUUAUUCAGCUACACAAAAAAUAAACAUGAACAGAAAAGGUGUCCAGUGUUUAUGGAACAUAAACACUUUUUUCAUGUAUAAGUCGCUCUGGAGUAUAAGUCUCAGGAACAGCCAACCUAUGAAAAAAAAGUGUGACUUAUAGUCGGGAAAAUACGGUAUUUAAGAAAAAAAUAUGAAAUUUUUGUAAAAUAAACAAUUUUUUUUAAUGAAUAAAUGUACAAUGAAUAAAUGUAAAUAAGUAAGUAAAUAAAUAAAUGUACAAUAAAUACAUGUAAAUAAGUAAGUAAAUAAAUAUGUAGGUAAAUAAAUAAAU